AUUAGAUAUAUUUGUGCAUUAAGGACUUCCAUCUCAACAGAAUCGCUGCAUACAAGAAGGAGAACCUGUUGUUUCCAUUAAUUUUUUUCUCAUUCUCUUCUACAUCUUACUGCUCGUUCAGAAAAACCCCAGAUGGUCACUCUCAUGCUGAUUUCACCGCUGUCUUCUGUUUUUGGAAAGUGACAGAAAAACCCUCAAAUGUUUUGCACACUGCCAGGAUGUAAUCUCUCCGUUUCACCUUGGGAGAGAAAACAAAGCACCUGCACAUCUGUCCCC
rnacentral:lncRNA from 12 species